GAGAUGUUGGGUUAAGUCCCGUAACGAGCGCAACCCUUGUCCUUAGGUUACCAGCACGUUAUGGUGGGCACUCUAAGGAGACUGCCGGUGACAAACCGGAGGAAGGUGGGGAUGACGUCAAGUCAUCAUGGCCCUUACGGCCUGGGCUACACACGUGCUACAAUGGUCGGUACAAAGGGUUGCCAAGCCGCGAGGUGGAGCUAAUCCAUAAAACCGAUCGUAGUCCGGAUCGCAGUCUGCAACUCGACUGCGUGAAGUCGGAAUCGCUAGUAAUCGUGAAUCAGAAUGUCACGGUGAAUACGUUCCCGGGCCUU
rnacentral:rRNA from 1 species